rnacentral:rRNA from 1 species
UUAUGGUAUUGAGGGUACACCUGUUCCCAUCUCGAACACAGUAGUUAAGCUCAAUUACGCUGAAGAUACUUAGCUGGUGACGGCUUGGAAAAAUAAGAUGAUGCC